GCCGCCGCACGAGGACACCCUCGAUGCCGGCGGCGGCGACGUGCUCACCUUCAGGCUCCACCCCCUCGCCGUCUUGAAAUUAUCCGACCGCAUCCGCGAGAUCCUCCUCCUCCUCCUACUCGGAUGUCUGGGUGCGUGAUCGGGGUUCGGCGUGGUGGGACGGUGGAUGUCUCCGACAUCUUGGACAUCUUGAUCUUGCACGGCCCCGACCCCGCAACCUUCGACCGCGCCUUACUGGAGAAGGAUCAGGAGAUCUACAAGAAGGCCUUCCCCGACUUGUCCGUUCUCGGGUGGUACUCCAUUGGGACCAAUGUGCACGCCACCGACAUGGGAAUCCACCAUGGGGACUACACCGACAUGCAAAUCCACCAGACAUUGAUGGAUGCUAAUGGAACAGCCUUUUAUCUUCUAUUAAAUCCUGCAAUCAACUUUUCCCAGAAGGAUAUCCCUUGUUGUGCCAUUCCAAUGGGAGUCCCCCGGUCAUCUUUGUCCAAGGAAACUAUACAGUUGAAAAAAAAUGCAUUUAGGACGAUGCUGUUUGAAACCCCUUCGGGAUUUGCAAUGUUCCGUGUUUCAGAUGUUUUGUUUAGAUAUCCUGAGGACAUAUGGUCGAGUUUUACUGAUCCACGUACCGCACAACAGGCUGUUCGUACCAUUGGUUUUAUUGAGGUUGGUAACAAAUCUCUUGUAUGGGAUAAGGAUAUUGGUCCUGGCGAGGAUUUAGAACAAUUUAUCCUAAAAUUCCCAAUUACAAAAUCAUUGGUUGUUCCAAACGCACAGCUUAAAUUCGUUAUUGAGAAAAAACUUAACAUUGGCUGUUGGUUUAAUGGGCGUAUUGUUCCUGAGUUGAUUUGGGGACUAAAUUAUGCCCUGGAUGAAUUUGUGCCUCAAGAGAAGGGCAACCUAUCAAAUGAAUGCCAUUUUCCACUGAGCAAGCAAUUGCAUGAGCAGUUAAAAGCAUAUGGAUUUAGUAUCUCACCACAAUUAAUUAAUAGAGAGUUUAUAACCAGUUUCGGUUACUUAAAUUAUCUGGAACGUACUUCAAAGAACAUUUCCGGGGAUUUACACCAGAAAUUUGAUCGUUUCUUUUGUGGACUUGAGAUGUCUGAGGGAGUGUUUGUAAAAGUUGUUGCGGACCGUCUCUGUUCCAUGGAGGAAGUGGCAUCAACACCAGGCAGACGAGAGGCAUUGAGCAACGCUGAAUUUCUUUUGACGGUUCCUAAGAAGAAGUAUAACACAUUAUCUCGUCUUAAGCGUAUGGAGGCAGAAGUUAGGGGUUCAGGGCCUUGGGUUUUCGUAGCUGUUUUUGCAGUGGCCUUCGGGGUUAUAUGGAAGGAUUGCGCAUUGCAAUGAAGCGAGCAAAUUAGAACUGGGCAAUAGGACCAAUGAGGCUAAAUUAGGAUCCGUAUAUAUGGUGACAACUUUUGUGAUCUAAAGUGACCAGUAAAC
rnacentral:lncRNA from 1 species